GGCCGUUUGGUCUAGUGGCAUGAUUCCUGUUUCGGGUACAGGAGGCCGCGGGUUCGAUUCCCGCAACGGCCC
rnacentral:tRNA from 6 species